rnacentral:piRNA from 1 species
GGGAAAUAGGACGUUCAGGACUCC